GUAGCCCAUCGAAUGAUCGCUAGCUUUUAGCUAGAGGAAAGUCCGGGCAGCAUAGGGUAUGACAGUUGUUAACGACAACCGGAGGAGACUCUAGGGAAAGUGCCACAGAAACGAUACCGCCUUGGCUUUAGGGCUAAGGUAAGGGUGAAAGGAGUGGGGUAAGAGCCCACAGUCGCUUAUGGUGACAUAACGCGAGAGGUAAACCCUGUCUGCUGCAAGGAGAGUUUCUGGCCGUUAAACGCCAGUUGGCUACCCGCCAAGCUCGAUAACCGCUAGACUGCAUAGGUAACUAUGUGGCUAGAUAGAUGAUCAUUUUAAACAGAACCCGGCUUACAGGUGGGCUACCUAA
rnacentral:RNase_P_RNA from 1 species